ACACGACUCUGGAGAGUUCCCGCAAGGGACGCCGAAGGGGCACGGACAGUGAUGUCUCAAUCUCUCAGGCAAAAGGACAGAGAA
rnacentral:ncRNA from 1 species